rnacentral:rRNA from 1 species
UACAGAGGGUGCGAGCGUUAAUCGGAAUUACUGGGCGUAAAGCGUGCGUAGACGGCUAUCUAAGUCGGGUGUGAAAGCCCCGGGCUCAACCUGGGAAUUGCAUUCGAGACUGAAUAGCUAGGGUACGGUAGAGGGAAGCGGAAUUUCCGGUGUAGCGGUGAAAUGCGUAGAUAUCGGAAGGAACAUCAGUGGCGAAAGCGGAGCUUCCUGGACCAGUAC